rnacentral:tRNA from 1 species
GGGUCCGUAGCUCAGCGGUAGAGCAUCUGCCUUUUAAGCAGAGGGUCGGUGGUUCGAGACCACCCGGACUCACAA